AUUGAACGCUGGCGGAAUGCUUUACACAUGCAAGUCGAACGGCAGCACGGGGGCAACCCUGGUGGCGAGUGGCGAACGGGUGAGUAAUACAUCGGAACGUGCCCAAUCGUGGGGGAUAACGUAGCGAAAGCUACGCUAAUACCGCAUACGAUCUACGGAUGAAAGCGGGGGAUCGCAAGACCUCGCGCGAAUGGAGCGGCCGAUGGCAGAUUAGGUAGUUGGUGGGGUAAAGGCUCACCAAGCCGACGAUCUGUAGCUGGUCUGAGAGGACGACCAGCCACACUGGGACUGAGACACGGCCCAGACUCCUACGGGAGCAGCAGUGGGAAUUUUGGACAAUGGGCGCAAGCCUGAUCCAGCCAUUCCGCGUGCAGGAUGAAGGCCU
rnacentral:rRNA from 1 species